AAGAUCAGGUUGCUCAGAGCCCUGUUCAGCCUGAUCUUGAAUGUUUCCAGGGAAGAGGCAUCUACCACCUCUCUGAUGGCACCACCUAUGCCGAAGAUCUCUUACUCAUAUCUAGUCUAAAUCUACCCCCUUUUAGUUUAAAAACAGUACCUCGUCUUAUCGCAACAGGUCCUACCAAAAAAGUUUGUCCCCAUCUUUCUCAUAAGCCCUCCUUAAGUAUCAAAAGGCCAUAAUAAGGUUUCCCUGGAGCCUUUUCUUCUCCAGACUGAACAACACCAGUUCUCUCAGCCUAUCUUCACAGGGCAGGUACUCCAUUCCUCUCAUCAUUUUUGUGGCCUUCCUCUGGACCCACUCCAACAGGUCGAACAGGUACUUGCAAAGGGCUUGUAAGAUAAUGUCAUCAAAGGACUUGUUUUUAGGAGAAAUACCUGAAAGCUUUCUUUCCAUAUAGGUACCCAAAGAGGCCUGCAGACUGGAAAGUGCCAGCUCAGUGGGGCACAGGCAGUACUGGUUCUGUACCACAAUGAACACCUAAGGAAGAAGGUGAAGAGGCAGCAGUUGGAAGUGCUGAUGGAAUCAGAAGGCUGUUUGCCACAGCUGUCUUGAAGAGGCUUGGGUUGGUCUGUUACAGAUAUUAUCCUCCCAUGAUAAACUAUACCAAGUGUUCUAGAAAAAAAAUUAACUGUCUGGUAAAAAUGAUGUGGUGAAAUCACAACCAUUAAAUAAGAAAAUUAAAAGUCAUUAAAAAAAAAAAAAAACAACAGAACCAGAACAGUCUAGAACAAAGCAUGUAAUCUGUAAAACCUUGUCUAAAAGUAUUCCUGCCCACAUAGUACAUUAAAAUGCAUUAUUGAUGAUAAUAUGCUAAUACAGAUGGAUACAGAACAUGCUGUGUUUCUUGAGCUAUUCAGUCAGGGCCCUUGUGACCAAGACAGAUUCUAAGCAGACUGUGAGGGGCUGCUGAGGUCUGUUUUUUCAGGCUGCCUUGGGACCCAGUUCAUAUCUAGUUACCCUCUUAGAACACGGUAUCUCCUUAGCAUCACUGUGAGAUCUCCUAUGCCUGUCCACUUACCUCUCCAAAGUGGGUGCUGGUUAGGGUUUAAUUAUAUGGGUCUUUGGUAUGUAGUUGUAGGGCAAGCGAGACUGGCUGGUCAGUCAUACAGCAUCUUCUCCACUGUAGUAUUAGCAUAUGCUUAUGUGGUCAGACACCAGGGAAUUCCUGAGAAGCCAUGCAUGUCCAAAACUGCAGUGAUGACACUGUGGAGCUCCCAGAGUGACGGGUGCAGCCGUUGCUCAGCACCUUGUUAUGCUCUGACUAUUCUCAUCAGACACUGCAAACUAUUUUUGCUUUAGAUAAAUGAGCUCUAGGUAAAGCAAAUACAAGACUCCUUGAACAUCAUGGACUUGGAGGCCAUGGCACUUAGGGACAUGGUUUAGCGGUGGACUUGGUAGUGUUAGGUUAAUUUUUAGGUUUGAUGAACUUAAGGGUUCUUCCCAACCUAAAAAUGAUUCUAUGAUUCUAUGAAAAGUAGAGGUAAGACAAACCUAGAACAAAGAACAAAAAAUGUGGGUUUCUGCUAUCUUUUAACUGUCCCCUCAUACUAAGCAGAAUCUUUACUCAUUCUCAACAUCUUUUAAAAUGUUCUAGGACCUAAGCUAUUUAAAAAUACAUGAUUUUUUUCCCCAUUGUUUUUGUGUAGCAAACCUUAGAUGCUGAGGUAGAGGCAUUAAACCACUUAGAAUAUGUCUCACCAUCAAUUAAACAUGGGUCCAAGUCUGUUGUCUCAGCCAGUAAUAUGCAUUUUAAAAGUAAACCCUUAAGCCCACUAAGUGGUUGCCUCAGGACGGCCUGAACAUAAUCAGCACCAGGUUCUCAUUAAUUUGUCGUGGAUAAUUUAGGCAUGAGCAGGACUUUGUACACUACAGUGUUGUCUUUCAGCAGUUCAUGCUGAGAACAGUGUAGGCAGUUCAAAAUACAGCAGCCUACAAAUAAUAGCAUUGCAGAUGGAAAGCGCACCAGUCAGGGCUCAACUAGCUCUCAAACAUGCACUUCACUGUAUGGCACACGUGUAAGGUUUGUGACUCUACUCUCUCUCUCUACCAUUCCCAGAAACAAAAAAUUCCCAGCGGAGCAUCACCUGCAGCUUAGAAUAAAAUUGUAUUUCGAUGCAAUUAUAAAAAAAUGAGGUUAUGUAUUCAGAGUGUAGAGAGUUACUGCCACAAGUCAGCUUGCUAGUACAUAUUCAUACGGACAUGAGGGUAUAUGAAGCUAAACUGGCUUGCCAAGUUCAGGUGUUCGUUGGCCCUCAUUCCAGUGUAUGUUCUGUCGAGGUUAAACUUUAUUCUGUGUUCAAGGGUUUAAGAACUGCUAUUUAAGAACACAUAAUUCACAAUUUCUCUUACUGUAUUAAGACAAACUAAGGAUGUUUUAGUGGUCAGUGAGUUCACCCUGAAGAGAAUCUCUGAGAUCCUGUAAGUCUACGAGCACACAAGUAAUUUUUUAUUCUUCUGCUAUUACAGCUAUAUUGUGGGAGACUAUCUCACAACAUGUUUGUAUUUUAGUGCUGGCAAAUUGCAUAUUAAAUAAAAUAUGCAAUUUUCAUAUUUUCACCAGACUAUGCCAAUGUUUCUAAAUUUCUGUAUUAUAUAUUUCCUAUCUAAUUUCUGGAUUCUUAUAGAAUUAAUAUUCAUUAGAACAUUAGACUUAUUCUUUUGUGUAUGCUCUCAGCAUGUAUAAUGGAAGGAGAAAUAUUCCUGUUUUCCUGUCUCAUACAGCAGAAGCAAUCCUGAUGGAAUCCAUGGAGUAGCAUUAAUAUAAAAUUAAUCUUAGGGAAAAAGCCUAAUGCUGGCUGAUUCUUUUAGCUGAUGGCACACCCUCCUUUAUAUACUCAAGAAAAAAGUGAACCUUUUGAACAAGAAAAGCAGGAAAUUACUUAUGUGUCCUUAGCCCUUCUUCUUCUGUGGACACUUCCCACCAUGUUGUGAAGCUCCUGUGUUUCUGCAGCUACACAAACAAAGGAAGAUGUGAUAAUUGCAGAGACAUAAAUUAAAACUACUGUCUCUCAUGUCACUUGAAUGUUAAUCUUUCCUAAAAAGGUCCUAUAAAACAACUGUUACUGCAAGUUUAGUACACGAAUGAUAUUUAGGAUUUCUACCAAACUCUUUCAGAGAGAAACCACGAACUUGUUAAACCUUCUGUCAUUUCUGAAUUCAUUUCCUGUUCUAACCACCUUGAAAAUCAAUAUGUGGAAGGUCAGGGUAAUCUUUCUUGCACUCAUUGUGUGGGCUACUCAGUUUCAGAACCAGCUGUUCAUGCAUGGGGCUAGUCCCAGCAGUUGAAACCCUGGUAACAUUUGCUCAUCCAAUUCCACAUGUGAAAAAAAAGAGACUUAGCUUUAAAGGUUUUACUGGAGUCAGCUACUCUCCACAGCAGUGUUUCAUGGAAGCUGGGAUUUAAUUCUGUCAGGUGCUGAGAGGUUUUAGCUCCCCUGAGUCAAUGGGCCCAGUAUCUCACAGGGUGUCUGAGAAAUGACACACCUCACUCAAUUGUGAUAAGCUCAUUAAAAUCACUGCUCUACGAAAGCACAAAACUGAGACAUAGUUAAAAGAGGUCAGAGGAACUCAGAAUCCUGAAAGAACUCCAACCAAGUUCUUUUCCUCACCCAGGCUUUCUCUGGGCAGAAUUUAUUGAUAAUAACAGAAAAAUGAAUCAUUAAGUCCCACAGCCCGAGUGUUAUAUUAUUAACUAAUAUAACUGUCAGGAUUUUUAUGGGAACUUUUGAGUUAAACCAUGAGCCACUUGCUGAAAAGCAAAUUUAAGGCUAUAUGCUGGGAAAGAACUUUCUCAUUAAAAUAUAAUCAAGGUUUGUUAGGCAACAAGAAAAGAACCAACCUGAUGCGCUGAAUUAAACUGAGUGGGAACUAAAGAUAUCAGAUAGCUGUGAAGAGUUCUUCAGCUCCCCAUUUUACAAGGUGCAAGCCUUACAUGGAUUUACCAUGGGAAAAACAGACUAAAUCUCUUGAGUGCACAAAAUAAGAAGAGCCCCUGACCAUGUUUUCUAAGGAUAGUAGGGGCAACAUACACAGUACUUUUUCUUCUGUAAUGACCCUCCUUACCCUUCUCCGUUUAUCUCUGUGAAAAGGGUUUUAAGUGAGCAUAGUCUGACUGCUAGUUGAGUAACAAGAAGGGAUGUGCAGGCAUGUAUUUAUAGUGGGGAGGGAAAGUUAAGAGUGAUCUUCUUGAUACCCCGUUCAAUAACUAACUUGCUUCUGGUCCUUUCGUGUGGAAGUACCCUAAGCUGCCCAGCCUCUCAUUUACCCUGCUGUGUGAAUGCUUGGUGGAUGUGUCUGUUCAGGUGUGAAGAGUGGAAGAAGAAAAAUAGAAAAUACAUGAUGUGAAAAUGAAACAGAGGCUUUAAUUUACUAUCAUCAUUUGUAAUCUCCUUCCAAAAGAAUAAAUGUGCACAUUAACACACAAACAGUUCACAAUAGAUUCAGAAAAUUGAAACUUAAAAUCACUGUAUAAUUUGGAAAAUUAAAUAAAUAAAGGAAAAUUCCUGCAGAUGUUCUACAAAUAGAGAAAAAGAGAAAGCAGGCCCAAGGGAUAUUUCAGUAUGUUUGCUACUUUAUUAGUAAAAUUAAUACCAGUGGUUUCAAAAAGACCACUCACACACAGUUCCUCUUGAUUAGAAUCUGGGCUUUAAAUUAUACAACAAAUCUUUUGCUUAGCUGAAAUUUUAAUUUUGAUUUGCAGAAGGGUAGGGAUUGCUACCUACAGGUAAUUCUCUAUAAACAGAUUUAGUUGUGUGUGAAAUGGGUAACAUUGAACAUGUGGGGCUAGGCUUAAUAAGUGCCUAGUCCAUAAAAGGAAAUCACGUGUGGCAGAAAAUAUAGGUGCCAAUGCCCAUUCCUGUGCUUGGAAAAGUGUGAUGUGGUGUCAAAGCAGAUAGACAGAAACUACAGGUGACACAAAUACUGCGGAUAUUUCUCCUUGCACGAGCUGGCCAGUUCAAGAAUAUCUUUUGAAGAUGCCAUCUGUAUAUUCUUUAGAGAAAAAAAGUCACUGUCAUCACAGAGUCCCCUUCUGUACAAUAAACUAAUGGCAAAAGCACUCAUUUGGCAAAGUUCAGUACAUUGGACCUUAAGUCUCUGAAGGUGUGUAACAAACUACAAGCUGCUGAAUCUGGAAACAGGAGUUCAUUACUCACUGGGCCAAAGAGACGAAAUGUUACAGAAGAGAAGUGCUAAAGAAAAAGAAGACUACUGCUGUGAGGUUAGACUUUAAAAGUGUUUUUUAAAUGUUACAGAAAGCAGGGUAAUAUUCUGUCUCCCCAGUCAUGCAAUAUGCAAAGUUUUUGUGAGCAUUUUGAGUUCAGGUGAGCAUUUUCAAAAAGGGUUUAACUUCAGUUUAUAAAGGCUAAUGAUCUAUUUCUGUAAACAGAAAAUGCACUGAAAAAUGGGCAGUAAAAACCCAAGAGGCAAGAAAGGACGAAAGUACAGGGUAAGAAAGAUAACAUGAAAAAGAUUAAGGAAAGCCACAUAGAAAGAGAAAAGAGGAUGAAGCAAAGAAGUAAAAUACAAUCAUCUUUUAUUUUCUGACAUUAGGUUCCUGGUAGAGUGAUCUUUGCCUUUUUCCAUCCCUCCAUUCAGUGCUGUUUUCACUUUUAUGUUUUAAGUCAACUUUUUUCUCCUACUUCUUCUGGUCUUGUUUUGCUCUCCUAACAUUGUCCUUCGGUCAGUAGGAGGCUGCAGAUGGACCACGUCUGUCUGUCUCCCAAUAUGUUAUGUCGUUACAGGGCUAUUUCCUUCCAGGAAUCAGAGUGGAUGAUGAUUGGAAUCCUGCUGUCUGCAGGGCAUCAGCUAGGGAAAAGGAGAGCUGGAAGUGUGAGAGAAUGACUGGACAGGAUCAGUGGGCUUAAGAAUAAUUAAGUCUCCCUUGGCAAAGUGCCAGAACCACAGGAAACAAACCAGAGGACCAGAGACACAGGAGCUGAUAAGAAUGGAGUACACUUUUCACAAGGAUGGCUGAUUAUUUUUAUAAUGUAUUUCUUAAAAUAAUUUUCCUCUUUUGGCUUUUAGACAAAGUUGUAGUUGCUGCCUCCAAGACUUAAAGUAGAAAUUCCACACUGCUCCACAGCUUUUUCCAAAUCCUGUAAGAAUGCAGAAUUGGUGCAUUUCCUAGAGUUUACCCAUGGUAUUCAUUUCAGAAGAGCUUUCUCUUUUCAGACUGAAAUCUGGACUGCAAAGAAGUAUGCACAUUGUUUCAUAUAUAUACACAUUUAUUUUUUCAUACGGAAAGAUAAAUAAUCAGAACAUGUUGAUCCCUUGAGAAGAUAAGGUUUUUGAGUAAAUAUUCAACUGUUAUAGCAUUAGAUGUGCUGAAACAACAUCAGUCGAAUAUAGCAGACCACCCGUGCUCACUUUUAGGGAGUUAAUAGCAGUGGAUAGGAACUUGUUUGAUAAGAAGGCUAUUCAUAGGGGCCAUCAGCAUCAGGCAGGACAUCUGACUGCUUCAUGGUCUGUACAGAGAAAGCCAUAAAUGUUUAGAAGUUUUGCUAUGCAAAUUAUUACAGAGAGAAGAAACUUCCUCAAUUUAUUUUCACCUAUCUUGAAAAUUUAAACCCUUUCUUUUCCACUGUGGAGCAAAAUCCUCCAUGAUCUACAUGAGCGGAUAACCAAGGAUCAACAGAAUAUCUCAGCCAUGAAACAUGACAGUCUUUGAAUGCAUCUCCAGGAAAUAUUUGCUUAGGGAAAAAAACCAACAGUUAACCUCAAGCAAGCAAAUCUCUCACAAGGAGGCAUUUUCAUUUCCCGUGUUCCCCAAGCACUGUGAUGUGAAGUCUUUGAAAUGACAGUAGCUGCAGAAGACAGGGGCUCAGGAAGAGAACAUGUCCCAGGGAUAUGCUGUGGCUCCAGCAGCUAUGAGGGAAGCAUCAGCUUAGAAAACAGCACCCAACACAGCACCUCUGCCACAAGGAUCAAAUGGAAGAAGGCAAAGCUGAUUCCCGAAAAGCCAGCCAUCUACAAUCAAUGCACUUAUCAGCAACUUGUGUCUUUUUCUUGUUAGACAGCUUCUGAAUCUAGACUGCCUCUUCAAAGUUCACCUUGCACAACAGCAUCUGAGUGGUCCGAUCCUAUUCCGUUCUAUGCUGUCUAGUGACAACAACAUUGAAGGGUUUAGGAACUGCAUUAAAAUACUCCCAGGUGAGAGGAGAAGCACUUUGCAGCCUCUAUCAGAAACAAAAACAGCUACAGAAAAUGUAAGGCAGAGCAAAACCAAGACCAGUAGAAUUGCUCAUGUAACCAUCUUAAUAAAAUUGGAUCUUCUGAAAUUACUUUGGAUUCUUUUGGAUGAAGUGAGAUAUGUUCAGGUAAAUGUGACUAUUAUGGAAUUUAUUUUUUUUUUCUGGAUGAUUCCAAAAUACUUUUGAUAGUGCAGUGGUAAAAAGUGAAUAAAUUCACUUGUUUGAUGCUCAGAGCUGAACAGUGGAAAAUACAUAAAUUCUAUAUUGUCCAGGUCAAGAGUUUAGAUAUAGUUUUCUUUUAAUUCAG